UACGGAGGGAGCUAGCGUUGUUCGGAAUUACUGGGCGUAAAGCGCACGUAGGCGGCUUUGUAAGUUAGAGGUGAAAGCCCGGGGCUCAACUCCGGAACUGCCUUUAAGACUGCAUCGCUUGAAUCCAGGAGAGGUGAGUGGAAUUCCGAGUGUAGAGGUGAAAUUCGUAGAUAUUCGGAAGAACACCAGUGGCGAAGGCGGCUCACUGGACUGGUAUUGACGCUGAGGUGGCGAAAGCGUGGGGAG
rnacentral:rRNA from 1 species